GACGAACGCUGGCGGCGUGCUUAACACAUGCAAGUCGAACGGAAAGGCCCUGCUUUUGUGGGGUGCUCGAGUGGCGAACGGGUGAGUAACACGUGAGUAACCUGCCCUUGACUUUGGGAUAACUUCAGGAAACUGGGGCUAAUACCGGAUAGGAGCUCCUGCUGCAUGGUGGGGGUUGGAAAGUUUCGGCGGUUGGGGAUGGACUCGCGGCUUAUCAGCUUGUUGGUGGGGUAGUGGCUUACCAAGGAUUGGACGGGUAGCCGGCCUGAGAGGGUGACCGGCCACAGUGGGACUGGGAUACGGCCCAGACUCAAUCGGGAGGCAGGAGUGGGGAACUGUGCACAAGGGGCGGAAGCCUGAUGCAGCAACGCCGGGUGCGGGAUGACGGCCUUCGGGUUGUAAACCGCUUUCGCCUGUGACGAAGCGUGAGUGACGGUAAUGGGGAAAGAAGCACCGGCUAACUACGU
rnacentral:rRNA from 1 species